CAUUUGGACGAGAAUCAAAUAAGAAUAAUAAGAACAGACAGCUUACAUCUUAUAUUUAUAUGUAGUUAUUGGGGUCAGAUUGUGGGAUGUUUAAGGGCAGAGUGACAUGACAUUCUGGGACAAGUACAGUGUGUUACAAGGCUAGUGGUGGGAGGAUGAAAGCGAAUGUAGCUUACACAUGGCCAGAAUCUGGAGCACCCCCAGAAUGGAAGAGAAACAGACACUGUAUCUGUGUUUGCUUCCUAUUGACAAGGAUGUGGUGGUUGGCCACAUUUUCCUUAUAAACAACCACUGCUACCAGUAGACAUAAGACACAUCAAAGGCCAGUGCAAAUACUUAAUAUGGGGGGAACAUUAGUGUUAGGCCAUAGACAAACACACUAUCCAGGUUAUACUUCCACACUCCCUUCCCACAGGGGGCAGCAGCAACCUUGUCCAAAUGCUGAGCCUGGUUGAUAAGCACACCAAGUGCUGCCAAUUAAGGUGAUCGUCAGUCAGUCUCCCACGGGGAAAGCCGUGAGGUUGCUGGGUUUGUUUGGUGGCCAUGAGGUCUUUAGUUUGGUAUUUUUCCUUUUUGUACAUAUUUAUGUUUCGUCACCAUCUGAACAAAUUCUAAUCUGCUUGGACUGGCCAACACGGAGCUGGCCCUGAACUUUUUGCUUUUUCAAAAUCUAGAGAUUGUUAUAAAUUGCUUUGCAGAUGCUCCCCACCCCUUGUCUGCAACCCUUCUAAAGUACUGUACCCUGCACACAACCCAUGUGGAAUUUUGGGUCUUUGGCAGUGUUUGGACCUGCGGUCAAAAUGGCGAGUUCAUCUCUGCUGCCCUUCAGUCCCUUGACUUUUUGGCCCUGAAGGAGACAUGGAUCACUCCAGAGAGAGCAGCUGGAGUAGCAGUGUUUUCUUCAUCUGACUGUUUUCUCUCAUAGUCUGAGAGCAUCUGGUCUUCUACCCUCAACACUAUAGCCCUACAGUAACCAUAAUGUAUGCUCGCCCUGGGCGACGCUGGAUGACUCUCAGUACUGUAUCUGAUUUAUUUUGUUUACCCUUGAAUUUUGAAUAGGCUCGUUCAUAUUUCCUUAAUCUGGUGCUUACCUGUUUACACAAAUGUAAGCACCACAAUUGUAAUGCAAAGAUGAUUGAAAGUAAAAUAAAUAUAAAAAUCAGAGUACUGGCAAGAUUCCUCCACGGUGGUUGCUUUAGUUUCAGGCCCUGCUUAGCCUAAAUGCAGAGACUAUUCUUCUCUCUGCUGAAAUAAAUGAUCGUCCUUCAAGAUGUGA